GUGGGACCAGGUGGAACUGACUAGACUGGAUCUAUCAUCUAACGAAAUCAAAGAAAUAUCUGAAGAUAUUGAAAACUUUAAUUGAUUGUCAGCGCUUGAGGUCCAGUACAAUGAGUUAAGAUGUCUACCUAAUAAUGUGAUCAAACUGGAUAAACUAUCUAAAAUAUUUGCAAGUCUCUCCUAUAUGUUAGGAAGGUUUGAGUCUCUUCAUUAUCUUCUCUUUGAUGUCCUCCUCUUAAUUAAAUGAAUGAGACCUGACAUCCUCCAGAAAGGAACAGUAUUGGUCCUCUAGUAUCUCUUGUAUUGAAGAACCAGGAGACCACAUGUGACGGCCAACCUCUCCCUCGUCCCUCAAGAUCCCCUUGUGACCAUACAAGUGAGAGAUGAUGUGACUUUUGAUGAUAGUCAUGUGAUGUUGUGUAGGUAAGGAUGAGGAGUGGGUGGAGUGAGGGGAGGUGUGGUGAGAAAGGAAGUUGUGAUGAUGAAAGCUAUGCUACCUCCAGAGUUAUGGUAUACUGUUAGUGUUCUUAUGGGGUACCCAAUGUAUGCUCCUUUUCAUCAAAGAGGAAGAAUUACUCUAACAACUAGAUUAGUAGCGUUGCUGAGGAAAAUGACUGUUGCUAUGACAUAUACAUCAAUGAAGAGAUACUCAAGAAUUUUUACAUUUUUCUUUCUUUC